rnacentral:rRNA from 1 species
GACGAACGCUGGCGGCGUGCUUAACACAUGCAAGUCGAACGGUGAUGCUCCAGCUUGCUGGAGUGGAUCAGUGGCGAACGGGUGAGUAACACGUGAGCAACCUGCCCCAGACUCUGGAAUAAGCGCUGGAAACGGCGUCUAAUACUGGAUACGAAACUGGCCCGCAUGGGCAUGGUUUGGAAAGUUUUUCGGUUUGGGAUGGGCUCGCGGCCUAUCAGCUUGUUGGUGAGGUAAUGGCUCACCAAGGCGACGACGGGUAGCCGGCCUGAGAGGGGGACCGGCCACACUGGGACUGAGACACGGCCCAGACUCCUACGGGAGGCAGCAGUGGGGAAUAUUGCACAAUGGGCGAAAGCCUGAUGCAGCGACGCCGCGUGAGGGAUGACGGCCUUCGGGUUGUAAACCUCUUUCAGCAGGGAAGAAGCGAAAGUGACGGUACCUGCAGAAGAAGCACCGGCUAACUACGUG